rnacentral:tRNA from 1 species
AGAAAUGUGCCCGAGACAAAGGACUAUUUUGAUAAAAUAGCUACAGAGCCACUGAACCUCUCAUUUCAU